rnacentral:rRNA from 1 species
CCUACGGGAGGCAGCAGUGAGGAAUAUUGGUCAAUGGACGAGAGUCUGAACCAGCCAAGUAGCGUGAAGGAUGACUGCCCUAUGGGUUGUAAACUUCUUUUAUAUGGGAAUAAAACGUUCCACGUGUGGGAUUUUGUAUGUACCAUAUGAAUAAGGAUCGGCUAACUCCGUGCCAGCAGCCGCGGUAAUACGGAGGAUCCGAGCGUUAUCCGGAUUUAUUGGGUUUAAAGGGAGCGUAGGUGGAUUGUUAAGUCAGUUGUGAAAGUUUGCGGCUCAACCGUAAAAUUGCAGUUGAAACUGGCAGUCUUGAGUACAGUAGAGGUGGGCGGAAUUCGUGGUGUAGCGGUGAAAUGCUUAGAUAUCACGAAGAACUCCGAUUGCGAAGGCAGUUCACUGGACUGCAGCUGACACUGAGGCUCGAAAGUGUGGGUAUCAAACAGGAUUAGAUACCCGAGUAGUC